GGUAGGAUGGCUGAAUUAUUAGGCGGUAGAUUGUAAAUCUAUUCAUGAGAACUAUUCUCUCCUAUCA
rnacentral:tRNA from 1 species